rnacentral:ribozyme from 16 species
AAAAAAAAUAAAAAUGCAACAAAACAAAAAAUACUGGGCCGACAUUGAUCUAUGUCGUUUUUUUCUCUAUCAAAUUUUAUCUUUUUUA